CGCGAGUUGCGGGGCCGCCGCUGCCCGCCCGCGUCGAGUCCGCGUCCGGGGCCCGGGCGGCCCGCGAGCAUGGAGGAGAAGUACCUGCCGGAGCUGAUGGCGGAGAAGGACUCCCUGGACCCCUCCUUCACACACGCUCUGCGGCUGGUGAACCAAGGAAGUUUCAGUAUACCAAAUUUUGUUGAAUCUUCUAACUAUGCUAAAGAAAUAGAAAAGUUUCAAAAAGGAGAAGGAAAGGACGAAGAAAAGUACAUCGAUGUGGUGAUCAAUAAGAACAUGAAGCUGGGACAGAAAGUGUUAAUUCCCGUGAAACAGUUUCCUAAGUUCAACUUUGUGGGGAAACUUUUGGGUCCUCGUGGCAAUUCUCUGAAGCGUUUACAAGAAGAAACCUUGACAAAAAUGUCCAUCCUUGGAAAAGGGUCCAUGAGAGACAAGGCAAAGGAAGAAGAGUUGAGGAAAAGUGGAGAAGCAAAGUACUUCCACCUCAAUGAUGACCUCCAUGUUCUCAUUGAGGUUUUUGCCCCGCCAGCGGAAGCGUAUGCCCGGAUGGGGCAUGCCUUGGAAGAAAUCAAGAAGUUCCUCAUUCCUGACUAUAAUGAUGAAAUCAGGCAAGCACAGCUCCAGGAAUUAACAUAUUUGAAUGGUGGUUCAGAAAAUGCAGAUGUACCGGUUGUCCGAGGGAAAUCCACCUUACGUACAAGAGGUGUACCAACUCAAACAAUAACCAGGGGAAGGGGAGGAGUCACAGCCCGGCCAAUUGGAGUUGGGGUACCAAGAGGGACGCCAACAUCCAGGGGCGUGCUUUCCACCCGAGGGCCAGUGAGUCGGGGAAGAGGACUUCUUACUCCCAGAGCAAGAGGAGUCCCCCCAACUGGAUACAGACCUCCGCCGCCACCCCCAACACCAGAGGCCUAUGGAGAUUAUGACUAUGAUGAUGGAUAUGGCACUGCUUAUGAUGAACAGAGUUACGAUUCCUAUGAUAACAGCUAUAGCACCCCAGCCCAAAGUGGUGCUGAUUACUAUGAUUAUGGCCAUGGACUCAGUGAAGAGACGUACGAUUCCUACGGGCAAGAGGAGUGGACUAGCUCAAGACACAAGGCACCUUCAGCCAGGACCGCCAAGGGCGUCUACAGAGAGCAGCCGUACGGCCGAUACUGAUUGUACUGUCGUUGUGACAUAGCCAAUCUCCACCCGUCCUGUGUACUGUUCAAAGAAAUGGCAGCCGUCUUGGAAAGCUGAAGGAGCUGGUGUGUCCCUGGAGCAGACACAGGAACUUUUCUCUAAUAAUGGACUGCUUAAGAAUAGUCAACUCACCAACGUGCCUAGUCAGUAAAUGAAUUCACUUGGGAACUUGAAAAUCAUCUUAGUAUUUUUUUUUUUUUGCACAAUUUUGUGUUCUGUGAAAUGCUUUAUAAAAUGGUAUGCUUUUUAAUUUGAAAAGCCUAUUAAACGAAAAAAAAAAAAGAGAAAAUCAAUCUUAUUUUGUUGUCUCCUAAUAAAAACCCCCAAUGCUUUGUGUAUUACGUAAUAAAGGCUGCCCCUUCAAAUCUCUUUUUCUUUACUAUUAACCAAGGAAAACAACAUCCGGUGAUUUCAGCGCAGCUCUAAAUUUGCACAUUUGAUAAGCGUGCAUGGCUGCAACUCACUGCAGGAAGUCAAGACUCUAUGCGUGUUUUGGAUUGAGAAUGAUUUAUCUGUCUCAGUUAUGGACCAAUAAAUAAGAAAGUGUUAU